AUUGAACGCUGGCGGCAUGCUUUACACAUGCAAGUCGAACGGCAGCGCGGGCUUCGGCCUGGCGGCGAGUGGCGAACGGGUGAGUAAUACAUCGGAACGUGCCCAGUAGUGGGGGAUAGCUCGGCGAAGGCCGGAUUAAUACCGCAUACGACCUGAGGGUGAAAGCGGGGGAUCUUCGGACCUCGCGCUAUUGGAGCGGCCGAUGGCAGAUUAGCUAGUUGGUGGGGUAAAGGCCUACCAAGGCGACGAUCUGUAGCUGGUCUGAGAGGACGACCAGCCACACUGGGACUGAGACACGGCCCAGACUCCUACGGGAGGCAGCAGUGGGGAAUUUUGGACAAUGGGCGAAAGCCUGAUCCAGCAAUGCCGCGUGUGUGAUGAAGGCCUUCGGGUUGUAAAGCACUUUUGGCGGGAACGAAAAGGACUGUGCCAAUACCACGGUUCGAUGACGGUACCCGCAGAAUAAGCACCGGCUAACUACGU
rnacentral:rRNA from 1 species